GGGUGGUAAUGCCGGAUGCUCCAGUUGGAUGCAUGUCCUUCUGGGAAAGAUUCAUCGGUAUGGGAUGGGGUCGCGUCCUAUCAGCUUGAUGGCGGGGUAACGGCCCACCAUGGCUUCGACGGGUAGCCGGCCUGAGAGGGCGACCGGCCACAUUGGGACUGAGAUACGGCCCAGACUCCUACGGGAGGCAGCAGUGGGGAAUAUUGCACAAUGGGCGCAAGCCUGAUGCAGCGACGCCGCGUGCGGGAUGACGGCCUUCGGGUUGUAAACCGCUUUUGACUGGGAGCAAGCCCUUCGGGGUGAGUGUACCUUUCGAAUAAGCACCGGCUAACUACGUGCCAGCAGCCGCGGUAAUACGUAGGGUGCAAGCGUUAUCCGGAAUUAUUGGGCGUAAAGGGCUCGUAGGCGGUUCGUCGCGUCCGGUGUGAAAGUCCAUCGCUUAACGGUGGAUCCGCGCCGGGUACGGGCGGGCUUGAGUGCGGUAGGGGAGACUGGAAUUCCCGGUGUAACGGUGGAAUGUGUAGAUAUCG
rnacentral:rRNA from 1 species